AGGCAUUACUUAAAUAGCUGCCUGAAAUUCAGCUCCCUAUCCUAUUCCUGCUUUUUCCAGAGAUGGAAUUGAUAUUGAAUCAGAAGAUUAGGAAAAAUCAUUGUUGCCUGCCCCGAACAGAUCAGGCAGCAAGAACAGACAGUGGUCUUCUGAAGAUACAGCAAUGCUGA